AAGACGAGUCAUCAUUCCAAACAAUAUAUUAUAGCGACGGCAAAAUUACCUCAAAAUAUAUUGGAGACAGCUUUUACACAUCAAAUGUCCACAUGGGGUUUGCAUCGGUUCAUUCAGCAACAGCUCACAUUUCGAACAGAGGAACUUUGAGUUGAUUUUUCUUCGAUCAACUUCUGAAAUUUGUUGGCCAGGCAUAACGAAACUCUGAAAUGAAA
rnacentral:lncRNA from 1 species